rnacentral:rRNA from 1 species
UCCUACGGGGGGCUGCAGUGGGGAAUAUUGCACAAUGGGGGAAACCCUGAUGCAGCAACGCCGCGUGGAGGAUGAAGGUCUUCGGAUUGUAAACUCCUUUGAUGAGGGACGAAUAAUGACGGUACCUCAAAAACAAGCCACGGCUAACUACGUGCCAGCAGCCGCGGUAAUACGUAGGUGGCAAGCGUUGUCCGGAAUUAUUGGGCGUAAAGGGCGCGUAGGCGGUCCCUUAAGUCAGAUGUGAAAUCCCGAGGCUCAACGUCGGGCGUGCAUUUGAAACUGGGGGACUAGAGUGCAGGAGAGGUAAGUGGAAUUCCUAGUGUAGCGGUGAAAUGCGUAGAUAUUAGGAGGAACACCAGUGGCGAAGGCGACUUACUGGACUGUAACUGACGCUGAGGCGCGAAAGCGUGGGGAGCAAACAGGAUUAGAUACCCUAGUAGUC